rnacentral:lncRNA from 1 species
GUUUUUUGUUUGCAGAUUUAUUUAGAUUUUGUAGAUUCAGUAUCACAAUGAGUUUUAUAUUCGGCAAGAAGAAAACACCCGCAGGAAUUAGGGCAGACAUGAAUUACGGAUGUAACGACAAAGACAGAGAACACAGGAAGAAAGAGAGGUGAGAGAGAGAAGCAUAGAGACGAGAUAGAGAGAGAGACCGGAGAGAGAGAGAGAGAGAGAGAGAGAAGCGGAG